GAAUAUUGGACAAUGGGCGAAAGCCUGAUCCAGCAAUGCCGCGUGAGUGAUGAAGGCCUUAGGGUUGUAAAGCUCUUUUACCCGAGAUGAUAAUGACUGUAUCGGGAGAAUAAGCUCCGGCUAACUCUGUGCCAGCAGCCGCGGUAAUACAGAGGGGGCAAGCGUUGUUCGGAAUUACUGGGCGUAAAGGGCGCGUAGGCGGCCUGCUAAGUCAGACGUGAAAUCCCCCGGCUCAACCGGGGAACUGCGUCUGAUACUGGCGGGCUUGAGUUCGGGAGAGGAAUGUGGAAUUCCAGGUGUAGCGGUGAAAUGCGUAGAUAUCUGGAGGAACACCGGUGGCGAAGGCGGCAUUCUGGACCGACACUGACGCUGAGGCGCGAAAGCCAGGGGAGCAAACGGG
rnacentral:rRNA from 1 species